ACGGAGGGUGCAAGCGUUAAUCGGAAUUAUUGGGCGUAAAGAGUACGUAGGCGGCUUUUCAAGUCGGAUGUGAAAGCCCUGAGCUUAACUCAGGAACUGCAUUCGAUACUGGAUCGCUAGAGUUGAUUAGAGGAUAGUGGAAUUUCAAGUGUAGCGGUGAAAUGCGUAGAUAUUUGAAGGAACACCAAUGGCGAAGGCAGCUAUCUGGAGUCAUACUGACGCUGAGGUACGAAAGCGUGGGGAGCAAACAGG
rnacentral:rRNA from 1 species